GAUGAACGCUAGCUACAGGCUUAACACAUGCAAGUCGAGGGGUAACGGGCAUCGAUGCUUGCUUUGUUGUGCUGACGACCGGCGCACGGGUGAGUAACGCGUAUCCAACCUUCCCUUGACUACUGCAUAACCCGGCGAAAGUCGGAUUAAUUCCCUAUGUGUGGCAUUUCUGCAUCUUUAUGUCCCGAAAGAUUCAUCGCUCAUGGAUGGGGAUGCGUCUGAUUAGGUAGUAGGCGGGGCAACGGCCCACCUAGCCAACGAUCAGUAGGGGUUCUGAGAGGAAGGUCCCCCACAUUGGAACUGACACACGGUCCACUCUCCUACGGGAGGCAGCAGUGAGGAAUAUUGGUCAAUGGGCGGAAGCCUGAACCAGCCAAGUAGCGUGCGAGAACACGGCCCAAUGGGUUGUAAACUGCUUUUAUGCGGGGAUAAAGUGGGCCACGCGUGGCCCAUUGCGUGUACCGCGAGAAUAGAGACCGGCUAAUUCC
rnacentral:rRNA from 1 species